CCUACGGGAGGCAGCAGUGAGGAAUAUUGGUCAAUGGGCGAGAGCCUGAACCAGCUAAGCCGCGUGAAGGAUGACGGCCCUACGGGUUGUAAACUUUUUUUGUCAGGGAGCAAUUGAGCUCUCGUGUGGGCUUAGCGAGUGUACCUGCAGAAAAAGCAUCGGCUAACUCCGUGCCAGCCGCCGCGGUAGUACAGAGGAUGCGAGCGUUAUUCGGAUUUAUUGGGUUUACGGGGUGCGUAGGCGGAAUGUCAAGUCAGCGGUAAAAAAUCGGGGCGAAACCCCGUCGUGCCGUUGAUACUGAUGAUCUUGAGUGGGCGAGAAGUAUGCGGAAUGCGAGGUGUAGCGGUGAAAUGCGUAGAUAUCACGAAGAACUCCGAUUGCGAAGGCAGCAUACCGGCGCCCAACUGACGCUGAAGCACGAAAGCGUGGGUAUCGAACAGGAUUAGAUACCCUAGUAGUC
rnacentral:rRNA from 1 species